rnacentral:rRNA from 1 species
ACCGCAUAAUCUCUGAGGAGGAAAGCAGGGGAUCGUAAGACCUUGCGCUUUUGGAGCGGCCGAUGUCUGAUUAGCUAGUUGGUGGGGUAAUGGCCUACCAAAGCUUCGAUCAGUAGCUGGUCUGAGAGGACGGCCAGCCACACUGGGACUGAGACACGGCCCAGACUCCUACGGGAGGCAGCAGUGGGGAAUUUUGGACAAUGGGCGCAAGCCUGAUCCAGCCAUGCCGCGUGAGUGAAGAAGGCCUUCGGGUUGUAAAGCUCUUUCAGCCGGGAAGAAAAGGCUGCGAUUAAUAAUCGCAGUUCAUGACGGUACCGGAAGAAGAAGCACCGGCUAACUACGUGCCAGCAGCCGCGGUAAUACGUAGGGUGCGAGCGUUAAUCGGAAUUACUGGGCGUAAAGGGUGCGCAGGCGGUUUUGUAAGUCAGAUGUGA